AAAAAAAAAAAAACCUGAAAAAGUAAAGCACUGUCUCAUUACCGGCUGUCAGUACAAUGUGAUGAUAGUCUCUUAAAAAUUUGCUAAAUCAAAUAAAUGGGAUCAGAACCAAACCGAAUAACACAGCCACAAGUUUGUUGCUUUUAAUGCCAAUCCUACCUCCGAUUUUGGUGACACUCCCCACCUAACGGAGCCUUCUGCUGCCCCAUUCGCCCUCACCAUUUGAAAAGCCUCCACCUCCGUUGGCAUUUGAAGAAGCAAGUCUGAGGAAGCCACUGGAGAGAGGUCCGACAAUCAUAGAAAUGCUACAAUGAGUAGACAAUUAAUUUGUCAAAUUGUAUAUAUGUGUAGUGAAUUGUGCUUUUUUUCUUCUUCUUAUUUUCAGAAGAGAAUUAGAU
rnacentral:lncRNA from 1 species